rnacentral:rRNA from 1 species
AGUCAACUUGAAUUUGGGUUUUUAACUUAGAUUUGGGUGGCGGACGGGUGAGUAACGCGUAAAGAACUUGCCUCACAGCUAGGGACAACAUUUAGAAAUGAAUGCUAAUACCUGAUAUUAUGAUUUUAAGGCAUCUUAGAAUUAUGAAAGCUAUAAGCACUGUGAGAGAGCUUUGCGUCCCAUUAGCUAGUUGGAGAGGUAACAGCUCACCAAGGCGAUGAUGGGUAGCCGGCCUGAGAGGGUGAACGGCCACAAGGGGACUGAGACACGGCCCUUACUCCUACGGGAGGCAGCAGUGGGGAAUAUUGGACAAUGGACCGAGAGUCUGAUCCAGCAAUUCUGUGUGCACGAUGAAGUUUUUCGGAAUGUAAAGUGCUUUCAGUUGGGAAGAAAGAAAUGACGGUACCAACAGAAGAAGUGACGGCUAAAUACGUGCCAGCAGCCGCGGUAAUACGUAUGUCACGAGCGUUAUCCGGAUUUAUUGGGCGUAAAGCGCGUCUAGGUGGUUAUGUAAGUCUGAUGUGAAAAUGCAGGGCUCAACUCUGUAUUGCGUUGGAAACUGUAUAACUAGAGUACUGGAGAGGUAAGCGGAACUACAAGUGUAGAGGUGAAAUUCGUAGAUAUUUGUAGGAAUGCCGAUGGGGAAGCCAGCUUACUGGACAGAUACUGACGCUAAAGCGCGAAAGCGUGG